CACGUAGGGGGCAAGCGUUGUCCGGAUUUAUUGGGCGUAAAGAGCUCGUAGGCGGCUCAGUAAGUCAGGUGUGAAACCUCCAGGCUCAACCUGGAGACGCCACCUGAUACUGCUGUGGCUAGAGUCCGGUGAGGGGAGCGGUGGAAUUCCUGGUGUAGCGGUGAAAUGCGCAGAUAUCAGGAGGAACACCAGCGGCGAAGGCGGCGCUCUGGGCCGGAACUGACGCUGAGGAGCGAAAGCGUGGGGAGCGAACAGG
rnacentral:rRNA from 1 species